AGGGAACUCCCUGACCCCUUGCGUUUCCCAAGUGAGGCAAUGCCUGGCCCUGCUUCGGCUCGUGCACGGUGCAUGCACCCACUGUCCUGCGCCCACUGUCUGGCACUCCCUAGUGAGAUGAACCCGGUACCUCAGAUGGAAAUGCAGAAAUCACCCGUCUUCUGCGUCGCUCACGCUGGGAGCUGUAGACCGGAGCUGUUCCUAUUCCGCCAUCUUGGCUCCUCCCUCCAGAAAGGCAAUACUGAACUCAUAGAAUGAAUUGGGAAGUACUUCCCCUGUGUCUAUCUUCUGGAAGAGACUGUAAAAGGCACAUCAUUAAAAUAUCAACUUUGGCAGAGACGUGGAGCAAGAUGACUGCAUAGAAGUUUCUACUGAUCAUUUCCCACCGCUUCCACGGGAACACCAAGUUUGAUAUCCACACAAAGGGAGCACCUUCAAAGGAAGCAAAAAUCAGAUACAUUCCCAUUGAGGCACGAAAAUGGAUCUAGCCACAGCUCUGAUGAUAUUGCUUUGCCUUUAACAGUACCUCCCAUUAGUCUCUUGCACCAAGAUGCACAUUUUUCAGUUUACAUAGUGGAUUUCAUCAUUCUACUAGAAAGCCUCCACUUUGUUUCUGAUUCAGUUUCAGUUUCCAAACCAGGUGCUUUGUCCCUCACUGACUGUUUUGGAUGACCUCUAGUUUUUCCCCAAGGUUCUAAAUUUAGUUUGGCUUUUAUUUGGCCAUCAUUUUAAUUCCCACUUUUUGUUUUGGUGCUGUUGAUUGUACAAUCCAACCAUCUCUACCUUUCAAUAUUUGCAGGUUUCUUUUUUCCUGUUUGUCUUGAACAUUCUGAUUUUUCCUAACCUUUGAGUCACCUGCCUCUGUUUUACCAUGUCAUUGAAUUAUGGUUUAGUCAAGUGGAAAGACAAGCUCCUGUCACUGCCUAUAGCACUGCCUAGUUUCCUUCCAAUUAUCAAUAAAAUUCUUUGUUAUUAGGUUUCUUCUGUUCCACUAUAAGCUCAAGUAAUUCACAACAAUAAAACAAGACAAAAAUAAUUAACAUUCACGAGAAUAAAGAGCAGCCAUUAAAUCAUGAAGUUAUCAGGGUGGAAGCAGCUCUAAUGGCUUCCAUUUAGCCUUUCUCACCAUAAUAGCCCUUACUCUACAAGUCAUGGAGCCAAUGUGGGGGUUCAGUCAGCUGCUGAGCAUGUCUAUGCACUGGGGAAAUGACCACAGGAGGAGUCCAGGGACCCACU
rnacentral:lncRNA from 1 species